rnacentral:misc_RNA from 1 species
AAAUAAAAAUGGAUACAGGGAAAUUUAGUUCUUACAAUAUCUCUGCAGUGAGAAUGCUAUUUUGGAGAAGAAAGGACUCUCCAUGUUUUUUCAUUUGAAGGUGGACAGCCUGGGAAGCUUUUCUCUCAGAUAAUACAACCUUGCCCUCCUGACCUUCCUAUGUUUGACUACUUUUAUUUCCUUGAUAUUUGGUGAGUAGAGAGGGAAUACAAUCUCAACCCCUAUGCCAGCGAUAAUCCUCCGAACUCUAAUUGUAGUGUGUAUACCAGCAUUUUGCCUUGACAUAACAAUGCCUUUGUAGAUGGAUAGCCUACGCCUAUUUUCCGGAACUUCCAAUUUAAUCUCCACUAUAUCCCCAGUCCUGAUAUCUGGAAUCGGUCUUUCCUUCUCUGAUGCCUCAACUGCUCUCUUAUUCAAUAUCCCCAUUAUGUCCCCAAGCUUGAUUAUUGGCUUUCUUGGUUCUUUCACUUUUACUUCGGCCUUCACCUCAUCACUUUCCAAAACUACUUCUCCUUCUUUCUCUUCUUGUUCUUCUACUUCCGUCACUUCUCCUUCAACAUUGUCACUUUCAUUCGCUACUUCGCCUCCUCCAGAGUUCUCCGAUUCCGCUCUAGCAACGAUGCUAUGUCUCGCAAAUGCUUCCAAAUUUGAACAAAUUGAAUUAGACGAAACUCGAGAAGUAGAAAUGCAGAGAGUGGAAUCACGAUGGAAAGUUGAAGAAAACCCUAAUUUCCUUGGAGGAAGACAAAGAGUGGGGCUUCUUGGAAUCACAACUAGGGCCUGAGAGAGAAUUUUGGAGCCCAUUUCUUAGCAAUAGGAAACUAGGGCUUCGAAGAAAAGAAAUUGGAGCCAAGUCACUGGUUUUAAGCAGAGAAAAUUGCC